GAUGGACGCUGGCGGCGUGCCUAAUACAUGCGAGUCGAGCGAACAGAUAAGGAGCUUGCUCCUUUGAAGUUAGCGGCGGACGGGUGAGUAACACGUGGGUAACCUACCUAUAAGACUGGGAUAACUUCGGGAAACCGGAGCUAAUACCGGAUAACAUUUAGAACCGCAUGGUUCUAAAGUGAAAGAUGGUUUUGCUAUCACUUAUAGAUGGACCCGCGCCGUAUUAGCUAGUUGGUAAGGUAACGGCUUACCAAGGCGACGAUACGUAGCCGACCUGAGAGGGUGAUCGGCCACACUGGAACUGAGACACGGUCCAGACUCCUACGGGAGGCAGCAGUAGGGAAUCUUCCGCAAUGGGCGAAAGCCUGACGGAGCAACGCCGCGUGAGUGAUGAAGGGUUUCGGCUCGUAAAACUCUGUUAUUAGGGAAGAACAAAUGUGUAAGUAACUGUGCACAUCUUGACGGUACCUAAUCAGAAAGCCACGGCUAACUACGUG
rnacentral:rRNA from 1 species